CCAAAUCCUGUGCUUCUAUUUGUUGGAACAACUAUAAAGACAUUCCAAGGAAUAAUCUAUAUAGCUUCAACUUCAGCUACGAAGAUCUAUAUCAAUUUGGAUAUUCCUGAGACAAAAGCAAUACAACAACAACAAAAGCUUGGAGAACAACCAGUGCAAUUACUAGCUUUUUCAAGUGAAAUUCCAAAUAUG